CAGAUCAACAAAAAGCCUAAUACAACCAAGGUUAUACUAUAUUUUGAUGAUAUAUGUAUGCAAUGCAAUCAUAUGGUUCUAUGGUGGUGAGAAGUUAUCAAGUGAGUCUGAGAAAAUUAUUGAUAAUCUUUACGAAUGCCCCUGGUAUGCAUGGAAUAAAAAAAAUAAAGACGUUUUUCUUCUGCUGAUGACGAAUAGCUUGAAACCGAUGACUUUUUCUUCUUAUGGAAUAUUAAAUUUACGAUACCCCAUCACGAUUCAGAUGGCGAAGAUAUGUUGGUCAAUUAUUACUUUGAUGAUAAACGUCAACAAUAAUAAAAACUGAAAUGGAUAAUUGUUAAUUGGCA